GAUGAAGAACGCAGUGAAAUGCGAUAAGUAAUGUGAAUUGCAGAAUUCAGUGAAUCAUCGAAUCUUUGAACGCACAUUGCGCCCGCCAGUAUUCUGGCGGGCAUGCCUGUCUGAGCGUCAUUUCAACCCUCAUGCCCCUAGGGCGUGGUGUUGGGGAUCGGCCAAAGCCCGCGAGGGACGGCCGGCCCCUAAAUCUAGUGGCGGACCCGUCGUGGCCUCCUCUGCGAAGUAGUGAUAUUCCGCAUCGGAGAGCGAUGAGCCCCUGCCGUUAAACCCCCAACUUUCCAAGGUUGACCUCAGAUCAGGUAGGAAUACCCGCUGAACUUAAGCAUAUAAUAAGCGGAGGA
rnacentral:misc_RNA from 1 species